rnacentral:rRNA from 1 species
UACGUAGGGAGCAAGCGUUGUCCGGAAUCAUUGGGCGUAAAGAGCGCGUAGGUGGCUUUAUAAGUCCGUUGUGAAAGUCAAAGGCUCAACCUUUGAAAGCCGAUGGAUACUGUGAAGCUAGAGUACGGAAGAGGCGAGUGGAAUUCCUGGUGUAGCGGUUGAAAUGCGCAGAUAAUCAGGAGGAACACCGGUGCGAAGGCGGUUCUCUGGGCGAUGUUCUGACGCUGAGGAGCGAAAGUGUGGGGAGCGAACAGG